CAAUCUGAUGGGCAGCAAGGUUUGAGGCAUUGAAGCACCAUGACGGGCUGUACCAGCCUAAGGCAGUGUGAACAUUCAUUCCUGUAUCAAGGAUGCAGCCACCUGCCCCAGUUCCUCCCUUCCACCCAUGAGCCAAAAAGGCCCCUGGAUCCUUGUGACACAGCUCUUCUCUGGAUUCUUGGUGUCUGAUAACCUCCUAGGCCGCACAUAAGAUCAUACCAAGAAACUGUAAGUGUAAGCCCUCACUUGGAGAUUGAUUGGGAAUUGCCUAUUUGCUCCUGACACUGUUCUCUUGCUAACUUUCCAGUCACUCACCAUUUGGGAUCUCAGUAACAUUUUCCUCUACUGUCCUCUCCUGUUUCCUCUCAGCUAACAUCAAUGUUUCCUCUUUCAGCUCAUCCUUUCCAUAGCAGUGACAGUUUACAUCCCAGACAGCAAAUGUUCCACUUUCUCUUCCCAGCCUUUAAAAGAAACCUCAGUUAAAUGAACCAAAGAAUUCUGUUACCAUGAACUACAAUGAGAACACAAACUGCCUCACCCACAU
rnacentral:lncRNA from 1 species